rnacentral:rRNA from 1 species
AGAGUUUGAUCAUGGCUCAGGACGAACGCUGGCGGCGUGCUUAACACAUGCAAGUCAAGGGGGCCCAGCAAUGGGCAACCGGCGAACGGGUGCGUAACACGUGAGCAACCUACCGAGAUAUGGGGGAUAGCCGGCCUAACGGCCGAGUAAUACCGCAUACGCUCUCGAUGAGGCAUUUCAUUGAGAGGAAACCUACGGGGUAUUUCGAGGGGCUCGCGGCCUAUCAGCUAGUUGGCGAGGUAACGGCUCACCAAGGCAACGACGGGUAGCUGGUCUGAGAGGAUGGCCAGCCACAUUGGGACUGAGAUACGGCCCAGACUCCUACGGGAGGCAGCAGUGGGGAAUCUUGCGCAAUGGCCUAACGGCUGACGCAGCGACGCCGCGUGUGGGAUGAAGCUCCUCGGAGUGUAAACCACUGUUGCCCGGGACGAAUAGCUCGAUUAAUCGAGCCUGACAGUACCGGGUGAGGAAGCACCGGCUAACUCCGUGCCAGCAGCCGCGGUAAUACGGGGGGUGCGAGCGUUGUCCGGAAUCACUGGGCGUAAAGGGCGCGUAGGUGGUUUGAUAAGGGUGUGGUGAAAGUCCGGGGCUCAACCCCGGAUCUGCCGUGCCGACUGUCAAACUCGAGGACUGUAGAGGCAGACGGAAUUCCGGGUGUAGCGGUGGAAUGCGUAGAGAUCCGGAGGAAGACCGGUGGCGAAGGCGGUCUGCUGGGCAGUUUCUGACACUGAUGCGCGACAGCGUGGGGAGCAAACAGGAUUAGAUACCCUGGUAGUCCACGCCGUAAACGAUGGGUACUAGGUGCCUGGGGGAGCGACCCUCUGGGUGCCGGCGCUAACGCAGAAGUACCCCGCCUGGGGAGUACGACCGCAAGGUUGAAACUCAAAGGAAUUGACGG